rnacentral:rRNA from 1 species
UACGGAGGAUCCAAGCGUUAUCCGGAAUUACUGGGCGUAAAGAGUUGCGUAGGUGGCAUAGUAAGCGGGUAGUGAAAGCGUGUGGCUCAACCAUACUCACAUUACCUGAACUGCUAAGCUAGAGAACGGGAGAGGUAGAUGGAAUUCCCAGUGUAGGAGUGAAAUCCGUAGAUAUUGGGAGGAACACCGAUGGCGUAGGCAGUCUACUGGCCUGUUUCUGACACUAAGGCACGAAAGCGUGGGGAGCAAACGGG